GCGGAGGAAGUUCGAAAAGCUAUGUUCUCAAUUGGUGACUUCAAGGCCCCAGGGCCGGAUGGGCUGCAUGCAGUAUUCUAUAAGCGGUUUUGGCCAAUGUUAGGAGAUGAUCUGGUGAUGUAAGUAUUAACAGCAGCGAAUACACAAGUAAUGCCUCUGGGGUGGAAUGACACUACCAUUGUUAUGAUCCCAAAGCUAAAUUCACCGGAGAAAGUUACACAAUUCAGAUCCAUUAGCUUAUGUAAUGUUGUUUAUAAAACUAUCUCCAAGAUGAUUGCAACAAGAUUGAAAGGUUUAUUGCCUGAAAUUCUUAGCCCCAUGCAGAGUGCUUUCGUCCCUGGAAGGUUGAUUACUGAUAAUGUGCUGAUAGCAUAUGAGAGUCUCCACGCAAUCAAACAAAAAAGGAAAGGCAAGGAGGGGUGGUGUGAAGUCAAAUUGGAUAUGCACAAGGCAUAUGACAGAGUUGAGUGGGUCUUUUUGGAAGCUAUUUUGCUAAAACUAGGGUUUAAGGCUGAAUGGGUUAAAAUGAUCAUGGUUUGUGUCUCUACGGUGGAGUAUAGAGUAAGAUACAAUUCAGUGGAAACAGAGAUAAUCAAACCCUCGAGGGGGCUGCAGCAGGGAGAUCCAUUGUCGCCUUAUUUAUUCCUCCUCUGUACAGAAGGAUUAACAACCCUACUUAAUCAUGCAGAUAAGACGAGUGAUUUGGUGGGGCUGAAAGUAUGCAGAGAUGCACCAGCUAUCACAAACCUGUUAUUUGCAGACGAUUCUUCAAUUCCGAUGAGAGCAAAUGAGAAAAACGCAAUAUCACUGAAAGUUGUUCUGGAUUCGUAUUAUGGGGCGUCAGGUCAGCUUGUGAGCAUGGACAAAUCCAACAUUUUCUUUAGUCCAAGUACAGAUGUAGGUGCUAAGGCCUUGGUGUGCUCAACACUGAAUAUCAUGACAAAAGCUAUAAAUGAUAAGUAUCUGGGCUUGCCAGCUACGUUGGGGUUGGACAAGACUGAUAGUUUUCAGUACUUGGUGGAUCGGUUGAUCUUGAAACUGACUGGAUGGAAGGAAAAAAGCUUGUCUUCUGGAGGUAAAGAGGUGCUUAUUAAAUCUGUAGCACAAGCCAUACCAACCUAUGCGAUGUCGGUCUUCAAAAUUCCUAAGAAAAUUUGCAAAGGAAUUACAGAUGUGAUAGCUAGGUUCUGGUGGGGUGAUGAUGCAUCACACAAGAGAAUGCAC
rnacentral:rRNA from 1 species